UAUAUAUUCCUGUCUCUGGAUGUAGGGUUCAGACAUUAAAAUCAAUGCCUGGGAGGUGAAAGGCUUCAUUGCCCAUAAAUAACUCUUAAAUUGCUCAUUUUGUCUCCUCAAACAGCAUAUCAACAAUGGAGGAUAUAAUUUGGAAGAUGAAAUGUGAAAAUACAAGUACUGUGCUCACAUGCUGAAGUUUCCUUAGCUGGAGGGAAUUCUGGUGGAAACGGGGAAUAAUGCUGGAUUACUGUUUUCACACAAAAUGGAUAAGAAGAUUUUUCUCUUUUUUUGGAAUCCUGAUUUUAAAUGAAUAUGGUUUUCGGGAGGCUCUGAACCAUCAUGUGCUCCUAACCAGGGUGCUGGGGCAUAGAAACAGUGGCAGUCAGAGACAGCAAGCUACCAAGAGAAUCCAGUGCUGACAUCUUGACUUGGCAGUGCCUAUGGUUUCAUUUGUUCUUGGCCUGCACAGUCAGACAACAUCCUUGCCAGACCAGGACCGUCAGAUGUACCCAGAUAAUCUGCACUAAUCAGUGUGAGUCUCAUAUAAAUAACUUGAUAUGGCUUACAAGUUACAACACUUGGCUAGUGUACCUAUACUCUCUCCCAAAAUAUGUAUAUGUAUACGCUGAGUAUUUUGAUUAAAAGAAAAA
rnacentral:lncRNA from 1 species